rnacentral:rRNA from 1 species
UUGCCUCGGCGGGAUCUCUGCCCCGGGUGCGUCGCAGCCCCGGACCAAGGCGCCCGCCGGAGGACCAACCAAAACUCUUAUUGUAUACCCCCUCGCGGGUUUUUUUUAUAAUCUGAGCCUUCUCGGCGCCUCUCGUAGGCGUUUCGAAAAUGAAUCAAAACUUUCAACAACGGAUCUCUUGGUUCUGGCAUCGAUGAAGAACGCAGCGAAAUGCGAUAAGUAAUGUGAAUUGCAGAAUUCAGUGAAUCAUCGAAUCUUUGAACGCACAUUGCGCCCGCCAGUAUUCUGGCGGGCAUGCCUGUCCGAGCGUCAUUUCAACCCUCGAACCCCUCCGGGGGGUCGGCGUUGGGGAUCGGCCCUGCCUUGGCGGUGGCCGUCUCCGAAAUACAGUGGCGGUCUCGCCGCAGCCUCUCCUGCGCAGUAGUUUGCACACUCGCAUCGGGAGCGCGGCGCGUCCACAGCCGUUAAACACCCAACUUCUGAAAUGUUGACCUCGGAUCAGGUAGGAAUA